rnacentral:rRNA from 1 species
AGAGUUUGAUUCUGGCUCAGGAUGAACGCUGGCGGCGUGCCUAACACAUGCAAGUCGAACGGACCAAUGCUCAUUUCAGCUUUGCUGAUUUGAGCAACGGUUAGCGGCGGACGGGUGAGUAACGCGUGGGCAACCUGCCCUGUGCAGGGGGAUAACACAGCGAAAGCUGUGCUAAUACCCCAUAAGACUACGCUAUCGCAUGAUAGAGUAGUCAAAGCUUUAGCGGCACAGGAUGGGCCCGCGUCUGAUUAGCUAGUUGGUGGGGUAACGGCCUACCAAGGCGACGAUCAGUAGCCGACCUGAGAGGGUGAUCGGCCGCACUGGAACUGAGACACGGUCCAGACUCCUACGGGAGGCAGCAGUGAGGAAUAUUGCACAAUGGGGGAAACCCUGAUGCAGCAACGCCGCGUGAGCGAAGAAGGCCUUCGGGUCGUAAAGCUCUGUCCUAAGGGAAGAAGCAUGACGGUACCUUAGGAGGAAGCCCCGGCUAACUACGUGCCAGCAGCCGCGGUAAUACGUAGGGGGCGAGCGUUAUCCGGAAUCACUGGGCGUAAAGGGUGCGUAGGCGGCCGAGUAAGCCAGAGGUGAAAGGCUACGGCUUAACCGUAGUAAGCCUUUGGAACUACUUGGCUUGAGUGCAGGAGAGGAGAGUGGAAUUCCUAGUGUAGCGGUGAAAUGCGUAGAUAUUAGGAGGAACACCAGUGGCGAAGGCGACUCUCUGGACUGUAACUGACGCUGAGGCACGAAAGCGUGGG